AACGGGUGAGUAACACGUGGGUGAUCUGCCCUGCACUUCGGGAUAAGCUUGGGAAACUGGGUCUAAUACCGGAUAGGACCAUCGUUUAGUGUCGGUGGUGGAAAGUUUUUUCGGUGUGGGAUGAGCUCGCGGCCUAUCAGCUUGUUGGUGGGGUAAUGGCCUACCAAGGCGUCGACGGGUAGCCGGCCUGAGAGGGUGUACGGCCACAUUGGGACUGAGAUACGGCCCAG
rnacentral:rRNA from 1 species